UAGGUGAGGCCAGCAUUACAGUCCAGCAAUGUUGUCCUCUUUUGUACUUUCUGCAGACUUGACUCAUUCUCUGCAGAAAUAGGGGAGCUCAGGCAUCUCUUCCCACAUCUAUUUAAAUUUAAAUGUCAGGAUUAGCAUGGAAAUUAUAUACAUGUAGAAGUGUCUUUUAGCAAGAUAGGUGUCAGUAUUUAGUAUGUACCGAGUGGAAGUGCCAUAACUGUGGUAACCUCCAGCAAGUCAGAAAGGCAAAAAAAGCUGAGAACUGUAUGGAUUUUGUGCAAGAGAAGUUACCACCCUUUGCUAAUACACAUUUACCUGUGAGUGUCUGGGCAGAGGCUCAAGUAAGCCUUAACCCUAAAAGUGUGUAUUUCCCUUCAAGUGAUGGCUUGGUAUCCUGUCCUGGGUGUAUUCUUCACUGGGUAUUGCUGCACUGGUCUUUCAUACUCAAUUACCAUUCACAUAUACAUAGCCAGCGUGCUACUUCAAUAUGUGUGCGUGCAUUGCCUUCUUUGCCACACUUUGUGUCAUGUUCCCAACCUACUGAGUAAUACUCCAUCAUAUGAGGGCUGUGUUUCAGCAGGGUCAGUUUCUUUUAACUCUUGGUUCAUAGCUUAGCUGAACCAUUUCAGUUAUGUUAUUUCUUCUUCCACUCCAGCUUCUGCCCUCUGCUCAGAUAGUUGGAGUAAGAAGCACCACAAGGAGGGGUGCUCUUCCUUGCAGGAUUUACAGUAAGGUGUCCUCUAUUGGUUACCUGACCGUCAGAUGGGUUGUAGCAGUUUUCAAGGCUGUUGAAUUUUGUAAACAAUUUAUACAUACGUAUGUGUAUGUCUAUUCUUUAUAUACAGUUUUUAAAACUCAAACUAUGUAUUUCUUUUUUAUUUUUCUUAGAGGUCACCUCCGAUACUAACGAAUGCAAACAACAGGUUCUGAAAGCAGACUACUGUGAGACUCACAGUAACCACUGAAUCAGCCGUGUGCCAGACUUCUCUCAAUUGCCAGGUUACAAAUGUAGUUCUGUGUUCAGCAAGAGGGAAGAUAUCUGUUUCAUUGCGGAUAGUUCGAAGAAGAUGCAUUCUCAGUAUUAUGAAGUGUCUGAACACCACCUCCUAAAAUGCUCCUACAGAAUGACCUUAUUUAAAAAUGUAUGAGGCUAUUUAUAAUCGACUCUGUGGCAGUGAUUAAAGAGGUGUGAAUAAUAGCUUAUUGGAAGUUGACAGCUCCUUGUUUGCUGAACCACUGCUAGAACGUUUCUGCUGCUCAGUUGUACCUCAUUUUUCUAAGGGAGGCUGCAUUUUGACAAGUGCU